GACGAACGCUGGCGGCGUGCUUAACACAUGCAAGUCGAACGGUGAAGCGCCUUCCUUUUUGGUGGGUGUGGAUGAGUGGCGAACGGGUGAGUAACACGUGAGUAACCUGCCCCCUUCUUCUGGAUAACCGCAUGAAAGUGUGGCUAAUACGGGAUAUUCUGGGUCUGUCGCAUGAUGGGUCUGGGAAAGAUAUUGUUUCGGUGGGGGAUGGGCUCGCGGCCUAUCAGCUUGUUGGUGGGGUGAUGGCCUACCAAGGCGGUGACGGGUAGCCGGGCUGAGAGGGUGAGCCGCCACGCUGGGACUGAGACACGGCCCAGACUCCUACGGGAGGCAGCAGUGGGUAAUAUUGCACAGUGGGCAGAAGCCUGAUGCAGCGACGCCGCGUGGGGGAUGGAGGUCUUCGGGUUGUGAACCUCUUUCGCCAGUGAAGCAGGCCUGCCUCGUUUGUGGGUGGGUUGACGGUAGCUGGAGAAGAAGCGCCGGCUAACUACGUG
rnacentral:rRNA from 1 species